AUCGCCCUCCUAGUUUGCUUGGACAUCAAGUACAGCACUGCGUAUGGUUUCUGGGAAACAGAAAUCAAACCCUUGAAAGAUGACCCACUUGUGAGAGCACACGUUAUGUUGGCAGCGCUGGAUCGGGAGCGGAGAGGGGAGGUACACCUACGAUGAAAAUUAGAGGCCUCUCUCAUCUUUUUAAGUGGGCGAACUUGCACAAUUGGUGGCUGACUAAAUACUUUUUUGCCCCACCGUACUCAAAAGCAUUUGGGCUUUGUCACUGUUUUUAAAUC